rnacentral:rRNA from 1 species
UACGUAGGCAGCAAGCGUUGUUCGGAGUUACUGGGCGUAAAGGGUGUGUAGGCGGUUCCUUUAGUUUGCUGUGAAAUCUCCCGGCUUAACCGGGAGGGUGCGGUGAAUACUGAGGGACUAGAGUACGGGAGAGGAAAGUGGAAUUCCUGGUGUAGCGGUGAAAUGCGUAGAUAUCGUGAGGAAGACCGGUGGCGAAGGCGGAUCUCUGGACAGUUCCUGACGCUGAGGCGCGAAGGCCAGGGGAGCAAACGGG